rnacentral:rRNA from 1 species
UCGCUGUUGGUGAGGUAACGGCUCACCAAGGCGACGACGGGUAGCCGGCCUGAGAGGGCGACCGGCCACACUGGGACUGAGACACGGCCCAGACUCCUACGGGAGGCAGCAGUGGGGAAUAUUGCACAAUGGGCGAAAGCCUGAUGCAGCGACGCCGCGUGAGGGAUGACGGCCUUCGGGUUGUAAACCUCUUUCAGCAGGGAAGAAGCGAAAGUGACGGUACCUGCAGAAGAAGCGCCGGCUAACUACGUGCCAGCAGCCGCGGUAAUACGUAGGGCGCAAGCGUUGUCCGGAAUUAUUGGGCGUAAAGAGCUCGUAGGCGGCUUGUCACGUCGGUUGUGAAAGCCCGGGGCUUAACCCCGGGUCUGCAGUCGAUACGGGCAGGCUAGAGUUCGGUAGGGGAGAUCGGAAUUCCUGGUGUAGCGGUGAAAUGCGCAGAUAUCAGGAGGAACACCGGUGGCGAAGGCGGAUCUCUGGGCCGAUACUGACGCUGAAGAACGAAAACGUGGGGAGCGAACAGGAUUAGAUACCCUGGUAGUCCACGCCGUAAACGGUGGGCACUAGGUGUGGGCAACAUUCCACGUUGUCC